ACUGUAUCCUUUUUAGAGCUCAGGCAUGAGUUGGAGGAGGCUCAGAGACAGACAUUGUGUGAUACUGAAAAUCUCCUUCAACUCUUACCCUUCUCCUCAACUCCCAGAAUCUCUCUUUCUUUAGGGUUUGUUACAUAGGUAUACAUGUGCCAUGGUGGUUUGCUGCACCCAUCAACCCAUCAUCUACAUCAGAGAACCUUGUCUUGGGCUAUUGGUAGCACGUAGAUAAACUACCCUUGGAUCAAGUGACCAUCCCUGUACAAUAAGAGUUGGCUGAGGAAGAGGAUAAACUGUGAGCAGGAAAGAUCCCCUAGAAAGGCAU